GAUCAUGGCUCAGGAUGAACGCUGGCGGCGUGCUUAACACAUGCAAGUUGAACGAAGCACUUUAUUUGAUUUCCUUCGGGACUGAUUAUUUUGUGACUAAGUGGCGGACGGGUGAGUAACGCGUGGGUAACCUGCCUUGUACAGGGGGAUAACAGUUGGAAACGGCUGCUAAUACCGCAUAAGCGCACAGCAUCGCAUGAUGCAGUGUGAAAAACUCCGGUGGUAUAAGAUGGACCCGCG
rnacentral:rRNA from 1 species